rnacentral:rRNA from 1 species
AGGAUGAACGACUAGCGACAGGCUAACACAUAGCAAGUCGAGGGGCAGCAUAGAAGUAGCAAUACUUGGUGGCGACCGGCGCACGGGUGAGUAACGCGUAUGCAACCGUACCUAUCGAGAGGGGAAUAACCCGGCGAAAGUCGGACUAAUACCGCAUAAAACAGGGGCACCGCAUGGUGAUAUUUGUUAAAGAAAUUCGCUGAUAGAUGGGCAUGCGUUCCAUUAGGUAGUUGGUGAGGUAACGGCUCACCAAGCCGACGAUGGAUAGGGGAACUGAGAGGUUGGUCCCCCACACUGGUACUGAGACACGGACCAGACUCCUACGGGAGGCAGCAGUGAGGAAUAUUGGUCAAUGGGCGGGAGCCUGAACCAGCCAAGCCGCGUGAAGGAAAGAAGGAUCUAUGGUUCGUAAACUUCUUUUGCAGGGGAAUAAAGUGCAGGACGUGUCCUGUUUUGUAUGUACCCUGAGAAUAAGGAUCGGCUAACUCCGUGCCAGCAGCUGC